GAGGGUAUAGCUCAGUGGUAGAGUGCAUGCUUAGCAUGAGUGAGGUCCUGGGUUCAACCCCCAGGACCUCCA
rnacentral:tRNA from 1 species